rnacentral:RNase_P_RNA from 16 species
GCGGAGGGCCGGAUGGCCGCGUGGGGGGCAACCCCCGCGAGGAAAGUCCGGACUCCAUGAAGCAGCGGUGCCGGGUAACGCCCGGGCGGGGAAACCCGACGGAAAGCGCCACAGAGAACAGUCCGCCGCGCAGGUCGCGGCAAGGGUGAAACGGUGGAGUAAGAGCCCACCGCGCCCCUGGCAACAGGGGCGGCACGGCAAGCCCCACCGGGAGCAAUGCCAAAUAGGACCCCCGCGCGGGACGCGUCGGUUUCGGCCGAUACCUCCGCUAGGCCGCUUCAGCCGAGAGGGGUCGGGUUGGCAGCUAGAGGCGCCUGGCAACAGGCGCACCAGAGGAAUGGUCAUCGAAGGGGGCAACCCUGGAACAGAAUCCGGCUUACAGGCCCUCCGCGCGC